rnacentral:misc_RNA from 1 species
GCCAAAUCCUAAGUCCCAUAUCCAGGAGAAUUGGAGGGUCCUUGAUUUUUUCUCUCAUCAUCCCGAAAGCCUGCACAUGUUCACUUUCCUCUUCGACGAUAUUGGUAUUCCACAAGAUUACAGGCAUAUGGACGGGUCUGGUGUCCACACAUUCACAUUGAUCAACAGGGCUGGAAAAUCAACUUAUGUGAAGUUCCACUGGAAGCCCACAUGUGGUGUCAAGUCUUUGUUGGAAGAAGAGGCAAUCCGAGUCGGAGGAGCAAAUCACAGCCAUGCUACUCAGGACCUCUAU